UACGUAGGGACCAAGCGUUGUUCGGAUUUACUGGGCGUAAAGGGCUCGUAGGCGGCGCGGUAAGUCACUUGUGAAAUCUCUGAGCUUAACUCAGAACGGCCAAGUGAUACUGCAGUGCUAGAGUGUGGAAGGGGCAAUCGGAAUUCUUGGUGUAGCGGUGAAAUGCGUAGAUAUCAAGAGGAACACCUGAGGUGAAGACGGGUUGCUGGGCCAACACUGACGCUGAGGCGCGAAAGCCAGGGGAGCAAACGGG
rnacentral:rRNA from 1 species